GUACUGCUGAAGAGUUCCAAACUAGGACGAAACCGCAAGCUUCCAGUAC
rnacentral:hammerhead_ribozyme from 1 species